GUCUAACCUGCCCACUGAGGAUUUAAAUGGCCGCAGUAUUCUAACUGUGCAAAGGUAGCAUAAUCAUUAGUCUUUUAAUUGAAGGCUGGAAUGAAUGGUUGAAUGAAAUAUUAACUGUUUCAAAUAAAUUUAUAAUAGAAUUUUAUUUUUUAGUCAAAAAGCUAAAAUGUCAUUAAAAGACGAGAAGACCCUAUAAAUCUUUAUAUUUUAUUAAUUUUAAUUAUUUAGAAAAAUUAAAUUAUAAUUAUGCAAAUAUUUUAUUGGGGUGAUAUUAAAAUUUAAAAAACUUUUAAUUUAUAAUUUACAUAAAUUAAUGAAUUAUUGAUCCAUAAAUUAUGAUUAAAAAAUUAAGUUACUUUAGGGAUAACAGCGUAAUUUUUUUAGAGAGUUCAUAUUGAUAAAAAAGAUUGCGACCUCGAUGUUGGAUUAAGAUAUAGAUUUAGGUGCAGUAGUUUAAAUCUU
rnacentral:rRNA from 1 species